AUCACUUCUUGGCCUUUUGGCUAAGAUGAAGUGUAACAUCUGUUCUUAUCAGUU
rnacentral:snRNA from 1 species